CUGGCGGCAGGCCUAACACAUGCAAGUCGAGCGCACUCUUCGGAGUGAGCGGCGGACGGGUUAGUAACGCGUGGGAACAUACCCUUUUCUACGGAAUAGCCUCGGGAAACUGAGAGUAAUACCGUAUACGCCCUUUUGGGGAAAGAUUUAUCGGUGAAGGAUUGGCCCGCGUUUGAUUAGAUAGUUGGUGGGGUAAUGGCCUACCAAGUCUACGAUCAAUAGCUGGUUUGAGAGGAUGAUCAGCAACACUGGGACUGAGACACGGCCCAGACUCCUACGGGAGGCAGCAGUGGGGAAUCUUAGACAAUGGGCGCAAGCCUGAUCUAGCCAUGCCGCGUGAGUGACGAAGGCCUUAGGGUCGUAAAGCACUUUCGCCAGAGAUGAUAAUGACAGUAUCUGGUAAAGAAACCCCGGCUAACUCCGUGCCAGCAGCCGCGGUAAUACGGAGGGGGUUAGCGUUGUUCGGAAUUACUGGGCGUAAAGCGCACGUAGGCGGAUUAGUAAGUUAGAGGUGAAAUCCCAGGGCUCAACCCUGGAACUGCCUUUAAUACUGCUAGUCUUGAGUUCGAGAGAGGUAAGUGGAAUUCCGAGUGUAGAGGUGAAAUUCGUAGAUAUUCGGAGGAACACCAGUGGCGAAGGCGGCUUACUGGCUCGAUACUGACGCUGAGGUGCGAAAGUGUGGGGAGCAAACAGGAUUAGAUACCCUGGUAGUCCACACCGUAAACGAUGAAUGCCAGACGUCAGCAAGUAUACUUGUUGGUGUCACACCUAACGGAUUAAGCAUUCCGCCUGGGGAGUACGGUC
rnacentral:rRNA from 1 species